rnacentral:rRNA from 1 species
UACGUAGGGGGCAAGCGUUGUCCGGAUUUAUUGGGCGUAAAGAGCGUGUAGGCGGCCAGGUAGGUCUGCUGUGAAAACUCGAGGCUCAACCUCGAGACGUCGGUUGAAACCAUCUGGCUAGAGUCCGGAAGAGGAGAGUGGAAUUCCUGGUGUAGCGGUGAAAUGCGCAGAUAUCAGGAAGAACACCCGUGGCGAAGGCGGCUCUCUGGGACGGUACUGACGCUGAGACGCGAAAGCGUGGGGAGCGAACAGG